rnacentral:tRNA from 1 species
GGGUGUAGCUCUGUGGUAGAGCACCUGCCUAGCAUGCAUGAGGCCCUGGGUUUAAUUCCCAGUAUUAAACA